rnacentral:ncRNA from 2 species
UAAAUAAAUGAAUAGAAUAUCCAUAUAAUCCUAAUAAUGAGGUUUAGGAGUAUCUACAGGGAACCGUAAAAUUCUCACAGCUAUGGAUAACUUUAUUUAAAGC